CAGUAGCCGCGGUAAAACGAAGGGGGCUAGCGUUGUUCGGAUUUACUGGGCGUAAAGCGCACGUAGGCGGACUUUUAAGUCAGGGGUGAAAUCCCGGGGCUCAACCCCGGAACUGCCUUUGAUACUGGAAGUCUUGAGUAUGGUAGAGGUGAGUGGAAUUCCGAGUGUAGAGGUGAAAUUCGUAGAUAUUCGGAGGAACACCAGUGGCGAAGGCGGCUCACUGGACCAUUACUGACGCUGAGGUGCGAAAGCGUGGGGAGCAAACAGGAUUAGAUACCCGUGUAGUCCCUGUCUCUUAUAC
rnacentral:rRNA from 1 species